UUGARAGGUGUUUUAUCAUGAUACCUAAGUAAAUCGUUCAUCUUUGCUUUUACCUAGUUACAAUUAUAAUUCAAUAAUAAUAAUACAGAGCCAUUAGCAUACAUUUCAAAUACAUGCAAAUUUGUUUGUCGAAAACAUAAUCACCGAAAACGUUCUAAGCCGUAUAUAUAAUGUAUAUCGAUAUAAUAUUACAAUCUCAGAAAUUGUUAAUAAGAUCAAACUGUUUCAAAAAAUUAAAACUAAUUGAUUGCUGUGAGCCAAAAUUACUUCUAAAAAAAAACACAUGAGUUGUGUACCUACACAUCUACGGUAUGACAAAAAUUAUUCACACGGUAUUAAAUUUGUCUGAGUAAGGAUAUCAACCCGAAUAUGCUACAAAUAUGCAUGCCCACUGUCAUGGAUUAUGGAUCAUCACCGACAUCACUGCCAAUAUAUGAUAAUUAUCUGUAGUGAAUUAAAUAGUUAUAUAAUAAUUGAUACAA